rnacentral:pre_miRNA from 15 species
GAACUUUUAAUUGAGCACUGUUCUAUGGUUAGUUUUGCAGGUUUGCAUCCAGCUGUAUGAUAUUCUGCUGUGCAAAUCCAUGCAAAACUGACUGUGGUGGUGGAAAGUCAGUAGAAAAAUA